GGCUGGCGUCGCGCCCCGCCCCCAUACCAAGGCCCUCCACGGGCUGCGGCCUCCCGCGCCUGCGCAGACGCCCGGCCGCGUGGCCGCUGGGAUACCCGCGGUUCAAGUUUGAACCGGAUCGCUCGCUGCGUGUUUCCCCACCGCGCCGCAGGAGGCAGCGGACGGCUGAGAAAAGCAGCUCUAGACCCGGCGCCCCGCAGCCGCCGGCACCCGCCUCGGCUCCCCCCCGUUGCUGCCGACACGGCCGCACUGGGCCCAGCCCACUGCGAGAGAAUGCAAUAAAGUUUCUUAAACUCCCACGAGGCCUCCUGGCCUGGCUCCUUGCCGGCGGGGACCCGACAGUUUGGUGCUGGAACCCAGGAUGCACAGCAGCCCGUAGGGACCCCCACCCCCGGCUGCGGGCUCCUCCCGACCACACCGGCCACUCCAGUUUCCGGUUGAAGUGAGCCCCUGCACCCCAGGCUCCACCAGUCCGUUUUUAUUGGAGUGUCAGCCUCAGACCAGCUCUCCUCAAGUUCACAAAAAUUCCCAAGCAACUUCCCUAACUAGGUAGGGACAGCUCUACGCCCCACCUGAGCAGGAAGAAGCUACAGAAGAAUGAGAUCAACUCCCUCGUCAGCCCCAGUUCACAGAAGGAAAAUAGAAGGUGUCACAGAGAAAGCUGACCGGCUGAGAAAAUCGGCUUUAGACCUGACUUCCUGCACCUGCACCUGCAUCUGGUUCCUGGGGACCUUCACAAGACACAAAUAUCCCACCCUCCCUACUCUUGCUUCCUGACCCGGAUAUACUGGUCUCAGCCCACUGUGAGAGAAUGUAAUAAAAUUUCUUAAACUCUAACAAGAUCUUUUUGCCUGCCUCCUGUUGGUGCAGACUUACCACCACCCACUGCUCUUAACUCAUGGCCUUGUCUAGAGUGAAUUGAGGAGCCAUGGUCUUUACGGAGUUCUCACAGUUAUCUAUCUAUGCACCUCAAUAUGCAGACAUUGGACAACCUUCUUUCACAGGCUCUUGAGUUGGAAGGCUGUGCCUGUAAGGAAUGCUAUUUUUUAUUUGGAGCCUUGCUUGUUUGCACAUUUUAAAAAACCUACAGUAGAUAGAAGGAAAAUGAAGUCAAGGGGAACUUGUUUAUGACUCGUCUUCAGUUCCAAUCCCUAGCAAGAGUACAAAAAGAAAUAACUCUACCCCAAGACAUGAUGAAAAGAAUUGGAUAUUUUCUAUUAUUCCUGAGAAGAUGAAAUGGUACAUAUGUUACAAAUGACUUUCAUUAUUAUAAGUGAAUUUAGCAGUUCCAUAGCAAAUGACCUGAUUGAAAAUCAUUUCCAUUCCCUUAUUUAAACCCUUAGCACCUGGGACACAGCUCCAUUAAUUUUAUGCCCUCGCCUACUCUGGUCUCCUAACUUAAUUGGUGGCAUUCAAGCCUGCCUUGGGGUUCUAUGUUUUUCUCUUAUCCUGAGAGUGAAUUCAUUUUCACUUUCUACUUGGCCCUUUAUAUCAAGAUAAAAAAUUGGUAAGUUUUCCUAUGUAAUAAAUAUUAAGGUCUUAUGUAAUAAAAGAAAGGCCUUAUAAAACCACAUUUCCAGCUACCACUUUUUCACUACUUUUAUAGCCAAAUUUUUGAAGUUUUUAAUUGCUGCCUCCAUUUAUCCCAAAUUCAAUUUGAUUAUUCUUUUCUGCCUUGUUUAUAUCUCAAAAUAAUUUACUUAUUAAUAUUCCUACUCUGGUCCAAGCCAUGAUCACCUCUUCUUUGACAAUUUCCUAUCCUUCCUACAUUCACUUUUGCCCUCCAGUCUUCACACAGCAACUAAAAUAUCUUAAAAACUCAGAUCUCAUAAUGUAAGUCCUUCCUUAAAAAUCACAAAGGUUUUCUCCUGACUUAAAGUCCAGUUAUCACCAUUAUGGUUUAUAUAUGGUCCUAUGGAAUCUGACUCCUAUUUUAAUUGUCUAACUUACCCUGGCUUCCUUAUGCCAUAACCAUAAAAGUUUGUUUUCAUUGCUGUGAAGUUCCUAUGACUUUAUCAACUUACCACACUCUGCCUGAAACAUUUCUCUAGGGUUCACCUUACUGCUGCUCUCAUCUUUUAGGUUUCAGCUUCAACUCACUUUGUCAGAGAAAUCUUUCCUGGUCCUCCCAAAGUAGGUUAAGUCUUCUAGAUAUAUGCUCUCAUUGUACCUUGUAAUUUCUCUGUGGCUUUCAUCAUAGUCAUUUACUUGACAUUUAUCUUCCUUGUUAGAUAUAGACCUCAUAAGGAUUUUUGUCCUGUUCAGUGAUUAAUUCCCAGCACUCCGCUCCUUCCCUGGGGAUACUAGGCAUUCAUUCAUUUACUGGAUGGUUGAAAGAAAGGGCAUAUUAAGAAUAUAAAACAUGAUAAAACAAAUGCUGUAGAGUGAGAACAGACCUUUUUAUUCAUAUACUGAGAUAAACGUCAGAGACUGAAAGAAAAAAAUCAUUCAGCAGAACAUUCAUUAAAAUUCAUUCUUGAACAGAGUUCUCACAAAAAAUUUAAGUCUGAUAUAACAUUAAAUAUUUUACAAAUCAGACAUUUCAUUUAAAUCUAAUCGUAUAAUCUUGAGUGCACUAUAGACAAAGAUUUCCUUGACCAGUUUCACUUCAUUUAACUAAUACAAGGCUUCCAUUAAAAUCCUACCACACCUUGAAAAUUACCUGCAGCUUUUAAAGACACAUGACUUAAACUUAAAUGGAAAGUCUUAUGUAGCAAUCCAGAAAAAAACAAAACAAAAAUAGGUAAGAAGCAUUUCUUAAUACAAAUAAAUUGUAAAAUAUCAUUUAUGUGUGAGUUUCUUCUCAUUGGCAUAGUUAUCCAACUAAAACAAUUCAUUUUGAAAUUGGUGCUUAAAAUACUCCAAUGUCACUGGAAAAUGCCUAUCAUUUUAGAAGUGCUCUUAAAUGGUAACUCUCAGAUGGGAAAGUCCCGAUUCCUGUGCUGAAGUGAAGGAAACUUGUUCAUAUUCAUGCCAGGCACCAUCUGUUAUGCAGUUACUAGACAGCUUGGCAACCAGUAAUCCCAAUUUUCAAUAACAUACUAAGACAUUCCAAGAAACACUUCUUACCACCUACAUAUUUCCAGAUUGCUAGAUAUAGAAGACAAUUAUAUUUGAAGUAUGGGCCUUACAACAGGAAACUUGAAAAUAUGAAAAAUAUUACACCAAUGAAAGAAUUCCCACCAAUGAAAUUCUGUGAACUGCUUUCAAAGAAUAUCCAUGGCUAAUGGAAGCUCUGCUCUGUGCAAACAGUGUGGUAUAAAAUAAUCACACAUUUGAGGUAUUAGCUGGAAAAUAUAUACAACUAUACAUGGACACAUCCACAGACUAUUCACAAAUCUAUUGGCCCCCAAACCAGCAGAUAAUAAAAUUAAAUAAUCAUGUACCACAGGAAAAAGUUACAGGGAACUUACAAAAAAAAGUGGUUACAUAAUCCUUAAUAUAAGGAGUAUGUUUUGAAUUAAUGUUUGAGGGAAAAUGUCUCCAUUUAUAUGAAAGUACCCAUUUAAAUAGUAAUAAAACCAAAAAGGAAACCUGAAUUCUAGGACUGUAUUGCCUCCCAGAUUAUUAAAGAAAUAUGCAAGAAUUCCUUGAAGAUCCUCUUCUACCCACUUUUUCUUUGUAAUUAAAAAAUACAAUUAAAAGAUUUUGGGAAGUUAUUAUCAGAUGACUCCUCUUCACUGGUUUAUAGAAAAAUUUAUAGAUUUUAACUAGGCAGUAAUCCAUUGUGGCCAAAAGACAAGCCUUUUUAGCUAUUUAGUAAAGAUGAAAAUUCUGGUUCAUUGUUCAUUUUUGGAAGUUUUUCUAUUCUGAUAAGAAAAAAGAUUAUGAAUGCCAUUUUAGUUUGCUUCACUUAGUAUAAAGACAGUUAUAUGGGUAGUAGUAAACCCAAGCUUCAUAUGGGGAAGGCUAAAUAAACGCACUAAUUUUCCUUUUGAACCACUUAGUCCUCUGACUUAAUACUUACUGAACUGGAAAAAAUGGCUAAUUUGGUCCUCAGGACAACAUCAAAAAAUAUUUCACUGCCUUAACACAAGUGGGAAAUUUACUUUUAAUGAAUAUGUAGGAAUCCAUUAUUAGGUAAUAUUAACAUGUCAAGUGUAUUAAAUAACAGCUGCACUUGAAAAUAAUGGAGACCAACAAAGGAAAUCAAGAUGUUAAUCAUAUUUCUUGGUAACUAUUUUACAUACUAGUGUAACUGAAGAGUUAACAGGAAGAAAACUUAAGCAUAAAAGUGCAAUUAAAGAAAAGGGCUGAAAUUUUACAUUCCUGUUCCUGUGAACACCUGAGCUGAUACAAAGGCAGACUGGCUUAAUGCCUUGGCAUAUAUAUGCCUUAAGGACCUUUUCUCUACCAAAUCUUUGUAAAUCUUAAGUAAGCAUGUAAUGAUUAUGAAACAACUACUUAUUUAAGCAUUCAAAUGCAAUCUGUUUCUAAAAUUAUUGUUCUCAUUUAUUAGAUGGAUUACACUUUGAAAUUUCUCAUUGUUGAGAAUUAUCAUUUCAUUAAAAUAAAUUCUGAAACGUACAAAUGUCUAGCACCUGUCUAAUUGAGCACUAAGGAAUAAAAAAAAAA